rnacentral:rRNA from 1 species
AAGCGCUCAUGACCAGACUUGGGCCGGUCGAUCAUCCGCCGUUCUCGGCGGUGCACUCUGCCGGCUCAGGCCAGCAUCAGUUUGGCCCGGGGGAUAAAGGCUUCGGGAAUGUGGCUCCUCCGGGAGUGUUAUAGCCCGCUGCGUAAUACCCUGGGGCAGACUGAGGUACGCGCUCCGCAAGGAUGCUGGCGUAAUGGUUAUCAGUGA